rnacentral:rRNA from 1 species
UACGGGGGGAGCAAGCGUUGUUCGGAUUUACUGGGCGUAAAGGGCGCGUAGGCGGCGUGACAAGUCACUUGUGAAAUCUCCGGGCUUAACUCGGAACGGUCAAGUGAUACUGUCGUGCUAGAGUACAGAAGGGGCAACUGGAAUUCUCGGUGUAGCGGUGAAAUGCGUAGAUAUCGAGAGGAACACCUGCGGCGAAGGCGGGUUGCUGGGCUGAUACUGACGCUGAGGCGCGAAAGCUAGGGAGCGAACGGG